rnacentral:lncRNA from 1 species
AGGGUCCAUCUAUUAGUCCUAUGACGGAACUAACAGCAUGGGUUAAAUGCGUGUAAGCCUUUUAGCACAUGUGAAAAGAAAUAUUUUUAUUUGUUAAAAUUUAUUUUAAUUUGUUUCCAGCU